rnacentral:lncRNA from 1 species
UCGACCCUCUUACUUAGAUCCUUGUUCAACAAGUAUUCCCCCAAGUCAGCCACUCAAGUUCGUCCUCCACCUAGCCCACCGGCCCUCCCAUUAAUCGGCCACCUCCACCAUCUAACCACAGCUCACCAGGCCAUCUCCUUCCAAAACCUCUCCACCAAAUAUGGCCCUCUCCUCCACCUCCGCCUCGGCGCCUCUCGAAUGCUCCUCGUCUCCUCCGCCUCCGUGGCCACCGACGUCUUCAAAACCCAAGACCUC